CACAGCACUAUGCAAAACGAGCCACAAAUCGAUAACGUCAAACAAUCGGAACUUCUAACUCAUGAACAAAAUAAACAGCUGUAACAACUAUGAAAAUGUAAACAACAAAGAUCGGGCCCCGGUUCCGGACCCAGCGUACCCGCCCAACCAUGAGACGAGCACCUACACUCGUCUUCCUCAUUUUGUCCAUUAGAUGGCCAUCAGCCUGUGCCGGCUGUUAUGCCAAUUCUCCCCAACGAAGAAAAUUUAACCGAACAUUUCUCUCAUCAGAUACGCUAUUUCGAAUCUCUUACAAGUGGAUAUUUGGUUAGCUUCACAGCACUAAGUGGAACAGGCGACGAAAUUCUACCAGGAUACUGCUAGUCGCCGCAAAAACAAAACACGCACGAAGGAAAUUUGGAUGCAAACGUUGCGCCAAUUUAGGACCAAUGUGCCCACACAACUACGCAAAACUGGGUAUGCCACGAAUAUCGGUCGUGCAACAGAGCUCUCUGGGGGAGGUAAGGGGCGAUGUAAAUGGAUAAUUCCAAUUAGGCGCAGAUGCAUCACCCUUGGAAAUUCCCUCACCGUUCGCACUCUAAAGUGAAACUCGGCGUAAGUGCCUAUG